UGAACGCUGGCGGCAGGCCUAACACAUGCAAGUCGAGCGGAUGAAGGGAGCUUGCUCCUGGAUUCAGCGGCGGACGGGUGAGUAAUGCCUAGGAAUCUGCCUGGUAGUGGGGGAUAACGUCCGGAAACGGGCGCUAAUACCGCAUACGUCCUGAGGGAGAAAGUGGGGGAUCUUCGGACCUCACGCUAUCAGAUGAGCCUAGGUCGGAUUAGCUAGUUGGUGGGGUAAAGGCCUACCAAGGCGACGAUCCGUAACUGGUCUGAGAGGAUGAUCAGUCACACUGGAACUGAGACACGGUCCAGACUCCUACGGGAGGCAGCAGUGGGGAAUAUUGGACAAUGGGCGAAAGCCUGAUCCAGCCAUGCCGCGUGUGUGAAGAAGGUCCUCGGAUUGUAAAGCACUUUAAGUUGGGAGGAAGGGCAGUAAGUUAAUACCUUGCUGUUUUGACGUUACCAACAGAAUAAGCACCGGCUAACUUCGUG
rnacentral:rRNA from 1 species